rnacentral:rRNA from 1 species
AAAUUGAAGAGUUUGAUCAUGGCUCAGAUUGAACGCUGGCGGCAGGCCUAACACAUGCAAGUCGAACGGUAACAGGAAGCAGCUUGCUGUUUUGCUGACGAGUGGCGGACGGGUGAGUAAUGUCUGGGAAACUGCCCGAUGGAGGGGGAUAACUACUGGAAACGGUAGCUAAUACCGCAUAACGUCGCAAGACCAAAGAGGGGGACCUUAGGGCCUCUUGCCAUCGGAUGUGCCCAGAUGGGAUUAGCUAGUAGGUGGGGUAACGGCUCACCUAGGCGACGAUCCCUAGCUGGUCUGAGAGGAUGACCAGCCACACUGGAACUGAGACACGGUCCAGACUCCUACGGGAGGCAGCAGUGGGGAAUAUUGCACAAUGGGCGCAAGCCUGAUGCAGCCAUGCCGCGUGUAUGAAGAAGGCCUUCGGGUUGUAAAGUACUUUCAGCGGGGAGGAAGGGAGUAAAGUUAAUACCUUUGCUCAUUGACGUUACCCGCAGAAGAAGCACCGGCUAACUCCGUGCCAGCAGCCGCGGUAAUACGGAGGGUGCAAGCGUUAAUCGGAAUUACUGGGCGUAAAGCGCACGCAGGCGGUUUGUUAAGUCAGAUGUGAAAUCCCCGGGCUCAACCUGGGAACUGCAUCUGAUACUGGCAAGCUUGAGUCUCGUAGAGGGGGGUAGAAUUCCAGGUGUAGCGGUGAAAUGCGUAGAGAUCUGGAGGAAUACCGGUGGCGAAGGCGGCCCCCUGGACGAAGACUGACGCUCAGGUGCGAAAGCGUGGGGAGCAAACAGGAUUAGAUACCCUGGUAGUCCACGCCGUAAACGAUGUCGACUUGGAGGUUGUGCCCUUGAGGCGUGGCUUCCGGAGCUAACGCGUUAAGUCGACCGCCUGGGGAGUACGGCCGCAAGGUUAAAACUCAAAUGAAUUGACGGGGGCCCGCACAAGCGGUGGAGCAUGUGGUUUAAUUCGAUGCAACGCGAAGAACCUUACCUGGUCUUGACAUCCACGGAAGUUUUCAGAGAUGAGAAUGUGCCUUCGGGAACCGUGAGACAGGUGCUGCAUGGCUGUCGUCAGCUCGUGUUGUGAAAUGUUGGGUUAAGUCCCGCAACGAGCGCAACCCUUAUCCUUUGUUGCCAGCGGUCCGGCCGGGAACUCAAAGGAGACUGCCAGUGAUAAACUGGAGGAAGGUGGGGAUGACGUCAAGUCAUCAUGGCCCUUACGACCAGGGCUACACACGUGCUACAAUGGCGCAUACAAAGAGAAGCGACCUCGCGAGAGCAAGCGGACCUCAUAAAGUGCGUCGUAGUCCGGAUUGGAGUCUGCAACUCGACUCCAUGAAGUCGGAAUCGCUAGUAAUCGUGGAUCAGAAUGCCACGGUGAAUACGUUCCCGGGCCUUGUACACACCGCCCGUCACACCAUGGGAGUGGGUUGCAAAAGAAGUAGGUAGCUUAACCUUCGGGAGGGCGCUUACCACUUUGUGAUUCAUGACUGGGGUGAAGUCGUAACAAGGUAACCGUAGGGGAACCUGCGGUUGGAUCACCUCCUUA